rnacentral:rRNA from 1 species
CGUACACUCCUGCGGGAGGCAGCAGUGGGGAAUUUUGGACAAUGGGCGAAAGCCUGAUCCAGCCAUGCCGCGUGCAGGAUGAAGGCCUUCGGGUUGUAAACUGCUUUUGUACGGAACGAAACGGCCUUUUCUAAUAAAGAGGGCUAAUGACGGUACCGUAAGAAUAAGCACCGGCUAACUACGUGCCAGCAGCCGCGGUAAUACGUAGGGUGCAAGCGUUAAUCGGAAUUACUGGGCGUAAAGCGUGCGCAGGCGGUUAUGUAAGACAGUUGUGAAAUCCCCGGGCUCAACCUGGGAACUGCAUCUGUGACUGCAUAGCUAGAGUACGGUAGAGGGGGAUGGAAUUCCGCGUGUAGCAGUGAAAUGCGUAGAUAUGCGGAGGAACACCGAUGGCGAAGGCAAUCCCCUGGACCUGUACUGACGCUCAUGCACGAAAGCGUGGGGAGCAACCAGGAGUAGAUACCCUUGUAGUCCCA